rnacentral:rRNA from 1 species
UUCGUUUUGCUCGUUGCUGUUUUAUGCAUAUCGUGCGGAAACGAGUUGUCUGAACCUUCGGGGGACGAUAACGGCGUCGAGCGGCGGACGGGUGAGUAAUGCCUGGGAAAUUGCCCUGAUGUGGGGGAUAACUAUUGGAAACGAUAGCUAAUACCGCAUAACGUCUACGGACCAAAGAGGGGGACCUUCGGGCCUCUCGCUUCAGGAUAUGCCCAGGUGGGAUUAGCUAGUUGGUGAGGUAAUGGCUCACCAAGGCGACGAUCCCUAGCUGGUCUGAGAGGAUGAUCAGCCACACUGGAACUGAGACACGGUCCAGACUCCUACGGGAGGCAGCAGUGGGGAAUAUUGCACAAUGGGCGCAAGCCUGAUGCAGCCAUGCCGCGUGUAUGAAGAAGGCCUUCGGGUUGUAAAGUACUUUCAGUUGUGAGGAAGGAGGUGAAGUUAAUAGCUGCUUCGUUUGACGUUAGCAACAGAAGAAGCACCGGCUAACUCCGUGCCAGCAGCCGCGGUAAUACGGAGGGUGCGAGCGUUAAUCGGAAUUACUGGGCGUAAAGCGCAUGCAGGUGGUUUGUUAAGUCAGAUGUGAAAGCCCGGGGCUCAACCUCGGAAUAGCAUCUGAAACUGGCAGGCUAGAGUACUGUAGAGGGGGGUAGAAUUUCAGGUGUAGCGG